GUGUGUGGCGUUCAACUAUAUAUGGAGCUCAAACAAGUUCUUGCAUUAUGUGACCAAAUUAAUGUACAUGUAAUUGGUAUUUUGAGGAGUAUUGCACGGUGAAUUCAGCACAUCCGCGCCCAAAGUCUCCCAAGUCAAAAUCGCUCCCUCCGGCCUCCACCUCUCUUUUCACAGAGGUAAACAAAAUGCAACGUUCAGAGAUC